ACGCACUAUCGCGGGAGCUCGGAUGGACCGGGCUGAGAGGGGUUUAUCAGCUAACCCGACCGCUUAACCUGAUCCGGGUAAUGCCGGCGGAGGGAAGAGAGCAAAUUAUCAGC
rfam:Desulfopila aestuarii DSM 18488 genome assembly, contig: EJ45DRAFT_scaffold00006.6